rnacentral:rRNA from 1 species
UGCCAGCAGCCGCGGUAAUACGGAGGGGGCUAGCGUUGUUCGGAAUUACUGGGCGUAAAGCGCACGUAGGCGGACCGAUCAGUCAGAGGUGAAAUCCCAGGGCUCAACCCUGGAACUGCCUUUGAUACUGUCGGUCUGGAGUUCGAGAGAGGUGAGUGGAAUUCCGAGUGUAGAGGUGAAAUUCGUAGAUAUUCGGAGGAACACCAGUGGCGAAGGCGGCUCACUGGCUCGAUACUGACGCUGAGGUGCGAAAGCGUGGGGAGCAAACAGGAUUAGAUA